AUCUCAAAGUGCUUCCCAAACAUUAGUUAACCCUUCACUCUUGGGUCACUGCCCCAUGUAGUGGCACAUAGACCACUUACAGCAAGAGCUAAGCUCCAGGGAGCUCUACCAUUAAGCUAAGCACUAGCUAGCUUUAUAGCUCAAGCUGUAGAGGCUCCUCCACUGAGAUCCCAAGUUCACAUCUGCCCAGUGGCACUUACAUAUGCUUAGGAAAACAUCUGCAAAGCUCCUUCAUUACCCACCUUCACAUGCCUCCUCAAAACUCUUGUGCCAUGCUGCCUAAAAAAAGCUUGACUACAGUUGGGCUGUUUGGGAACUGCCUACCCUAUGGACCAAUGUUGUUUAUUUAUCCUCCCCCUUCUGUCUGUAUCCAUCUGUUAUCAGUGUUUUAGAGUACAAUGGUCUCUUGGGAAAGAGACCAUCUUUCGAUUCUGUGUUCAUGCAGCACCUAGCACGAAGGGGCCUUGCUCUAGGACAAGGCCUCCUGGGGUACAGUAAUAUAAAUAGCAAAUCAUAAUGAAGCUCAACCCUCACUAUGCAUAUUAUGUCCAUUUUACAGAUGGGACAACUGAGGUACAAAGCGGUGGACUGAUUUGUCUAAGGCCUCACAGUGAGGUGGAAAGCUGGGAUUAGAACCCAGUCUUUUCAGGGGGAUAAGGCAGAAUGCCACAUUUAUUGGUAGCACAUAUAUCCAUCAACACUGUUUCAUAUGCAUAUGAUAUAUGACAUACACACACACACACAAGCACACUCCCUCUUCUUGUUGUUACCAAGAGUUGCUCCCCCUACCUGCACUGGCCAGGUAAGUUGGAUGGGGGAGGGGUGAAGCCACAUUUCUGCAGAUCUGGUUCAGUGCUCCGAUGGUGACAAGACAAAGGGGUCCUCCUGCAAGAUACCUUUGAUUUAUAGUAGCUCCUCUUUCAUGCAAAUCUAUCCUCUUAUGCAUAUGCAAAUCUGUGUUAACAUAUGCAUAUGCAGUCUGCCGCACCUUCUUCUGGGCGUUGUCUUAAUGCUGCCACAUUCAUCUUCAAAGAAGGUGCUUCCAAAAGCCGGCACUUGCUGCUGACUCCCAAGGCAUCCAUCCAUAUGUCCAAUCUUCUUUCCGUGAGUCCACUUAACAGGUCUUAUUGUCCUUGGAUAUCUGGCUUUCAUCCCCACUUCCGAGGUGCUUGCCUUUCACGCCUUAUCCAUUCGCACCUCAUUCAUUCAAUUAAGUAAAGAGGGAGAGAUCUAUUCUGGUCCAAAGACAUUCUCUUUACCUUACUUAUUUUUAGGGACUAUUCUGUCAAGACUUAAUAUGAAGUUUCUAUGUUCUAUAUGAAAAGAUACAAUGUUUCUAUGUAAAAAGACUUACCACCACGUUUCUAUGUUCUAUAUGAAACAGUACAACGUUUCUACAUAAAAGAACCUGAUACAGAGUUCAAAACUUCAAUGGGAAAAUGAUGAAUCCAGAGAUUUAUGAUUAAUACAGAGCUGUGUCUACAAAGAGGACUACUCCAGCCCUCUCUCAACCAGCAACUUGGGGACAGACAGCCUCCAAUACUCCGUGUACCUUUAUAUACCAGACACACGUUUCUAAUCAACCCUGCCUGAUCUUUUGAGAGGAGACGGGGAAGGAAAUGUCUGAAGGACAGGAUCUUUGAUAUUAAAGGGUCCUUCGUUCAUCAUGUACCAGACCGUCUUUUCCAGAGCAUGGAAAGAGAAGUUCCCCAAGGAAUUCAGAUUUCUGGUCUAGGAAGGUUAAUGAUUAAAUAAGUUUCCUGUAUUCAACUAUUUCUCUAUUCAUCAGAAAGCAAAAUACAUUUGUUUCAUAUGUCCAGCACAAUUUGGCGAGGGUAGGUGGUAGAGCAGAGGUGGGCAAUAAUUUUUGUUGGGAGGGGCCACUCGAAGAAUUUGGUAAGUUGUCACGGGCUGCGGUCUUCCAUGAUAUUAAUGGAGGAGGUAUGGGAUUUGUGAUAGAGUUUGGGUG